GACGAACGCUGGCGGCGUGCUUAACACAUGCAAGUCGAACGGUGAAGCGCCUUCCUUUUUGGUGGGUGUGGAUGAGUGGCGAACGGGUGAGUAACACGUGAGUAACCUGCCCCCUUCUUCUGGAUAACCGCAUGAAAGUGUGGCUAAUACGGGAUAUUCUGGGUCUGUCGCAUGAUGGGUCUGGGAAAGAUAUUGUUUCGGUGGGGGAUGGGCUCGCGGCCUAUCAGCUUGUUGGUGGGGUGAUGGCCUACCAAGGCGGUGACGGGUAGCCGGCCUGAGAGGGUGGACGGUCACACUGGGACUGAGACACGGCCCAGACUCCUACGGGAGGCAGCAGUGGGGAAUAUUGCACAAUGGGCGCAAGCCUGAUGCAGCGACGCCGCGUGGGGGAUGGAGGCCGUCGGGUUGUGAACCUCUUUCGCCAGUGAAGCAGGCCUGCCUCGUUUGUGGGUGGGUUGACGGUAGCUGGAUAAGAAGCGCCGGCUAACUACGUG
rnacentral:rRNA from 1 species